ensembl:snRNA U6 U6 spliceosomal RNA
GUGCUCACUCCGGCAGCACAUAUUCUAAAAAUGGAACAAUACAGAAAAGAUUAGCAUGGCCCCUGCACAAGGAUAACACGCAAAUUUGUGAAGUGUUCCAUAUUUUU